GGGGGCAUAGCUCAUAUGGUAGAGCACUCGCUUUGCAUGCGAGGGGUAGGGGGAUCGAUACCCCCUGUCUCCA
rnacentral:tRNA from 1 species